rnacentral:lncRNA from 1 species
AUGAGUUCCCGCUGCAGCUUUCAUACCUGUCUGAAAUAUGUCUACCUACCUGCAGUAGCUACUAUGGAGAUCAAGCUCAUCACUUCUGGUCCUUCAGCCAUUUUUUCCCUGACAGUCCUGAUUUCCAAAGUGUUUGAACCAGGGCAUUUCAACUUGCAUAAGCACAGAAGACAGCAUACGAAGGACUCUGUCACUGUCUGGACAAGAGAAGUAACUCCUUGGUGGACUGCCAAAACAAGAAAUCCUGCUAGAGGACUUGAUUAUAGGUUAAGUUUCAAGAAUGCCAUUGUGAAUUGUAAGAUGAAGAUAAGACAGACAUGCAUACAAUAGACUGCUAUUUUAAAAAGUUCUUUUCCCUAUCUUUGUUUUUUUCUUUAUUUCUUUUUCUGCUGAUGCUGUUCAAGUAGAAAGUAAUUUGGGUUUUUAGAUGGUAUUUCUGAACACCGUACAUUACUGGCCUUCUGCGAAGACACGCGACUCUCUGAGUCUGCGGGGUAAGGUUGCUCAAUCCAUGGGGUUGUGCACUGCAAGGUCCACAGGAAGUGGGGAAAAACUGAAUUAAUGCCAGCCCAUAGCUGACCGAGGCACAAGGCUUGAGCCCUGAAGAAAUACGGUAAUAAAUAGUGGUAUUAAAAGGUGACCA